rnacentral:rRNA from 1 species
CUACGGGCGGCACCAGUGAGGAAUUUUGCGCAAUGGGGGAAACCCUGACGCAGCAACGCCGCGUGAGUGAUGAAGGCUCUUGGGUCGUAAAACUCUGUCAGCAGGGAAGAAAUUAAUUAUGGUUAAUACCCAUAGUUAUUGACGGUACCUGCAAAGGAAGCACCGGCUAACUCCGUGCCAGCAGCCGCGGUAAUACGGGGGGUGCAAGCGUUAUUCGGAAUUAUUGGGCGUAAAGCGAGUGUAGGCGGCCGUUUAAGUCAGAUGUGAAAGCCCGGGGCUCAACCCUGGAAGUGCAUUUGAAACUGGACGGCUUGAGUAUGGGAGAGGAAAGUGGAAUUCCUGGUGUAGAGGUGAAAUUCGUAGAUAUCAGGAGGAACACCGGUGGCGAAGGCGACUUUCUGGACCAAUACUGACGCUCAGACUCGAAGGCGUGGGGAGCAAACAGGAUUAGAUACCCGGGUAGUC